rnacentral:rRNA from 1 species
GUCCUAGCUGUAAAACGGUGCACGUUUGCUGUAAGAGGAAUCGACCCCUUUUGUGGCGAAGCUAACGCGUUAAACGUGCCGCCUGGGGAGUACGGUCGCAAGAUUAAAACUCAAAGAAAUUGACGGGGGCCUGCACAAGCGGUGGAGUAUGUGGCUUAAUUCGAUGCAACGCGAAGAACCUUACCUGGCCUUGACAUGUAGGUAGUAGAAGCCCGAAAGGGUGACGAGGUAGCAAUACCAGCUUACACAGGUGCUGCAUGGCUGUCGU